rnacentral:rRNA from 1 species
UACGUAGGGUGCAAGCGUUAUCCGGAAUUAUUGGGCGUAAAGAGCUUGUAGGCGGUUUGUCGCGUCUGCUGUGAAAUUUCGGGGCUCAACCCCGAACUUGCAGUGGGUACGGGCAGACUAGAGUGUGGUAGGGGAGACUGGAAUUCCUGGUGUAGCGGUGAAAUGCGCAGAUAUCAGGAGGAACACCGAUUGCGAAGGCAGCUCGCUGGGACGUCACUGACGCUGAGACGCGAAAAGCGUGGGGAGCAAACAGG